rnacentral:rRNA from 1 species
AUGCAGUCGAGCGGUAGAGAGAAGCUUGCUUCUCUUGAGAGCGGCGGACGGGUGAGUAAUGCCUAGGAAUCUGCCUGGUAGUGGGGGAUAACGUUCGGAAACGGACGCUAAUACCGCAUACGUCCUACGGGAGAAAGCAGGGGACCUUCGGGCCUUGCGCUAUCAGAUGAGCCUAGGUCGGAUUAGCUAGUUGGUGAGGUAAUGGCUCACCAAGGCUACGAUCCGUAACUGGUCUGAGAGGAUGAUCAGUCACACUGGAACUGAGACACGGUCCAGACUCCUACGGGAGGCAGCAGUGGGGAAUAUUGGACAAUGGGCGAAAGCCUGAUCCAGCCAUGCCGCGUGUGUGAAGAAGGUCUUCGGAUUGUAAAGCACUUUAAGUUGGGAGGAAGGGCAGUUACCUAAUACGUGAUUGUUUUGACGUUACCGACAGAAUAAGCACCGGCUAACUCUGUGCCAGCAGCCGCGGUAAUACAGAGGGUGCAAGCGUUAAUCGGAAUUACUGGGCGUAAAGCGCGCGUAGGUGGUUAGUUAAGUUGGAUGUGAAAUCCCCGGGCUCAACCUGGGAACUGCAUUCAAAACUGACUGACUAGAGUAUGGUAGAGGGUGGUGGAAUUUCCUGUGUAGCGGUGAAAUGCGUAGAUAUAGGAAGGAACACCAGUGGCGAAGGCGACCACCUGGACUGAUACUGACACUGAGGUGCGAAAG